CAGUAGCCACGGUAAAACGAGGGGGGCAAGCGUUGUUCGGAUUUAUUGGGCGUAAAGGGUGCGUAGGCGGUUUAGUAAGUCAGUGGUGAAAGCCCAUCGCUCAACGGUGGAACGGCCAUUGAUACUGCUGAACUUGAAUUAUUAGGAAGUAACUAGAAUAUGUUGUGUAGCGGUGAAAUGCUUAGAGAUUACAUGGAAUACCAAUUGCGAAGGCAGGUUACUACUAAUUGAUUGACGCUGAUGGACGAAAGCGUGGGGAGCGAACAGGAUUAGAUACCCCAGUAGUCCCUGUCUCUUAUAC
rnacentral:rRNA from 1 species